GAUGAACGCUGGCGGCGUGCCUAAUACAUGCAAGUCGAGCGAACGGACGAGAAGCUUGCUUCUCUGAUGUUAGCGGCGGACGGGUGAGUAACACGUGGAUAACCUACCUAUAAGACUGGGAUAACUUCGGGAAACCGUAGCUAAUACCGGAUAAUAUUUUGAACCGCAUGGUUCAAAAGUGAAAGACGGUCUUGCUGUCAUUUAUAGAUGGUCCCGCGCUGCAUUAGCUAGUUGGUAAGGUAACGGCUUACCAAGGCAACGAUGCAUAGCCGACCUGAGAGGGUGAUCGGCCACACUGGAACUGAGACACGGUCCAGACUCCUACGGGAGGCAGCAGUAGGGAAUCUUCCGCAAUGGGCGAAAGCCUGACGGAGCAACGCCGCGUGAGUGAUGAAGGUCUUCGGAUCGUAAAACUCUGUUAUUAGGGAAGAACAUAUGUGUAAGUAACUGUGCACAUCUUGACGGUACCUAAUCAGAAAGCCACGGCUAACUACGUG
rnacentral:rRNA from 1 species